GCUGCUGUAGCUCAGCAGGCAGAGCACCACCAUGGUAAGGUGGGGGUCGGCGGUUCGAGCCCGCCCAGCAGCUCCA
rnacentral:tRNA from 1 species